UUGAAUUGUGUUAAGUUUUUUUUUUGGUUUAAUUGUUUUGGUUUAUUAUUUUCAUAUCUGGAAAAAUCUCCAGUUGUUGUUUUAGUUUUUGUCAAACUUGCUGUUGUUGAUGUUUGUUUUAUGAUGAUUACAAUGAUUUUUACGGAUGUUUUUUCAACGGCUCCAUGCAGUGUUCAGCUGCUCUCCUGUCCCCUGCUCUUACUGCUCGUAAGCAGAGGCUAAAAUACUUCUGGUUCCACGCGCACCUCAGCAAACGCAGCCCACCACAGGAAUGUUAUGGAUACGGACACUGCAGAUCUCAGUGGGGGUGGUUCAUUUGGUGUGGUUGUUGGACAGUCAGUGUUUUGGUUCAGGAGCGGACCUAAUGGUUCUAAUGUAUAGUCAGAUCAGGUGUGAGAUUGAGGGUAUCUAUCUACCCGGCCUGCCCUGCUCCCCCUCUCUCUCAGCCUCUGCUGCCCAGCCCACCCUCUCUCUCAGCCUCUGCUGCCCAGCCCACCCUCUCUCUCAGCCUCUGCUGCCCAGCCCACCCUCUCUCUCAGCCUCUGCUGCCCAGCCCACCCUCUCUCUCAGCCUCUGCUGCCCAGCCCACCCUCUCUCCCUUCCCAUCCCCAUGUUGUCCGCUCCACACACACACAUCCUCCACUCCAGUCACCUCACUCACACUGGUGCUUUAUUUUCCAUAGGCUGUCUAGGAGCUUUCUGGCAGAAUGAAAAGACAGACUCCUAACCACUAUCCCUCUCCGUCAACCUGAAUACCAUAUAAACUGACGCAGCACUCGAUUUCUAUGCAAAGACAGAGGUUCGCGCUCAGAACCAUCAACCAUCAGUCCACCAACCAUCUGCCAAUUGUCUAACCCUCUCCUUUCCACCCCCCUGGCAUUUUUUCAUACCAGCCAGCACUGGGCAGACUCCCAACUACCCUCCCCACUGUCCCAUCACUGUGGGGUGUUUGUAAUUCAGUCUCACUGAUAUCCCUCAUACAUACACGCCUCCGGAGGACCACUGAGUGGACUCUGCUUUCCCCUGUUGGCGCUCUAGCAUUGUGUAAAGUACAUCUGUAAAGUACAGUUCUUCAUUGUGAUGAUUCCAAGAGCUUUUAGGUAACACUAAUAAUGACCUGCUGAGUGGUAUGAGAAGUAUGAGUGGUGGGGAUGGGGUUUCUGGGAGUCCUUCCUCAUGUGUCAUGUGCCAACUGGACUAAAAUAUAUACUUCAGCCCUGCCAUUUACCAUUGAGUUGUCUCUGCUGUCAAAUGAGCCUUCAAUUCCCAAGAUUCAGUAGUUUUGAGACAUUUCCUCCUGAAUCCUAGACUUAAAGGCACAUGGGUCAUGGAGGAAUGUGGGGUGGGAGGAGGGGGUAAUAUUUGGGUCAGGACAUAUGAGGCAGUCCCUUGUCCCAGCUAUCAAAAGAAAACAGGCAGUCUGUGUGUACUGUUGAUGGGUCACAUUGGGUACACCUUUUAUAAAACCAAAAACAUGUUAUCUUUUCUUUGGGGUGAGGGGUGACAAAAAGUAGAAGCUAAAGUACAAAAAAAAAGUGUUUUAAAAAAGUCCUACAGUAUGUUUUUUGCUGUGCACUCCUUGGCUGAGAGGCCUCGUUCUGUCUCUGCAAGCCUUUCCCCCCAACUGUGGCCCUCUGACUGGGGCUUUCUUCUGGAACACUGUGUUGAUGCUGUUAGUUUCUGACCUCCAGCCUCGAGUGCACCACCCACAGAACAUUGCCCCAGAUCUGGAUUUUUGGGUUAGGGUCCAGGUGGGGCCCACCGUAUCAGCAGGGCCAGGACACACCUCACAGUUUUGUUGUUCGGUACCAAGUCUUAAAAGGGGAAAGGCCCUCUUCCAAGAGUUGUUUUUCGUACUCGUCAUUGUCGUGUGACAUUAGCAACAAUCACUAAUUGCCUGUUUCUGAAAAACCUGAAUUGUUUUGCUCCACGCUGGGCUCCCGAGGCUACAGACUGGAAUAGGGUCACAAAAAAGGGAUUGGGGGGGUCAAGUCUCAGAGGCGUCCCAGGAUUCUCUGUGCAGCACGAGCACUGAGAGCCCACCUGUCACUCUACCCACCCCUACCCCACCUUAUUGACCCAUCAAUAUACACCAUGGAUGACUGGUGUAGGAAGUCAAGAGAAUCUCCCUUUUUAAAUCACUCAAAGGCAACUGGAGUUUAAGCAAAGUAUGCUUCUCAAUCAUGGACCAGAGUAGGUUCUGGGGUAGGGACCCCAUUUCAAGAGGAAAACAAAUCUUUGUCAAGGGCCUGGGUUGAAUAUGCACAUGCUAGUUUAUAUACAUGUAUACAUCCAAGUGUGCAUAUGUAUACAGCUAGGUUUCUCUUUCCACUUUACCCUAAACCCGCUCUCUGCCCCAGGUCCAACCUUACCCCUAUGUAUUCUCCUUCUCUGUAUAUUUCCCAGAAGAUAAAUAUAAUAUUAACAUAUCAGAGUAAUACAAAAAUAAAGAAUACAAAUACUUGAAUCAAAAAGAAGCGCCAAUAUUGUAAUGUGAACACUUUGUAAUAAUUUUGUCUCAUUCAUACACUUCCUGGAUAUUUGAGAAUAUCUGUUCUGAGUGAAUUAAAUUAGAAAAAUGAGGAUUGUUAAAAACAAAGAUUGGUAUAAAAAAAGGCUAAAUGACAUCUGUUGUAUCUGAGUGUUUGCACAAGGUUGCCUGUACUGUAUGGUUCGUGGGUGGAUGGAUGUGUCUGUUUGACAGACCGUGUGUAUGAGGUUUCAAACGAUUGUGAGCCUGUGAUUUACAGCGGGAAUUAUCUCCGCUUUUUCAUUUGAUUUCUAUUCCGUAUAUUAGUUUUAUGUUUUAUUUUUGGCUUAUCAAAGUAUAUUGUGAUGUUUAUUGUUAUUAGACUCUAGCGUUGCACUGAGUGUCAGCCCUCCCCUCAAGCUAAUCGAACAACGCCAGAUAAAAUACUGGGGGCAGACGGCGACUUCACGUGUAAAUGUUUACUCAAGGACUUAAGAAAAUAAGUGUUUUUAAUCUGUAAUAUGUUUAUAUACCUUGUAGUGGCUUUCAUUGUGGAAUAAUCCAAGAAAAAAUAUGGAUUAUUAAGUAUAAGUAUUGCACCAUUUGUUUCAGAUUAUAAACUUAAAAAGUAUACAAAAGCAACAAAAAAAAACAAAUAUUGAAAAAAGUUACAAAAAAAGUAUUUUUGAAGACCUGUGGCCAUAGAGUUUGGGUAGAGAGACUUGUAGCUCUCCCUGUCUAUUCAGGGAGAAACCGAAGGACAAGACAUCAGAAGGAGGGUUGAUUACAAGGCUCACUUCAGAGGUGCCUACCUUUUUGGUUUGUUAGCUUUUGUUCAGUUUCAUUUUUGUUAAAAUCUCAUGCGUUAUGUCUGCUUGUUUUCUGCAAGGCCACUGACGGUUUACAACCAUUUUUGUUUGUCUGAAGUUCGAGGAAAAUGAAUUAACUGUAUGAAAAUGUUGGAAAAACAAAAGAAAAGGACAAAUACUUCCAUUUUUAAAAAGAAUAACAAAAAACACUUUACAGAAUGAAGAUUUUAAUAUUGUGCUACUUUCAGAACUCUGGGAUCCAACAGUGUUGUCAUGUUAUAUUUGACCUUUGACAUCUUUGUUCUAUGUUGAUUUCAUGGACUAUCUAAAGCCUGUGCAUUUUUAUUACAUUUUUCCUUUGUAAAAAAACAAAACAAAAAAACAUAAUUGCUCACUAUCUUGCACACAUAAAGUGGAUCUUGUCUCAGGAAGGCCAGGGUUCCAGAGUUCCAACUCCACUCCAUUUUAAUGUACGAAGAAAAAAAAAUGAUUAAAAAAAAUGAAGCACUGAAAAACUUAUGAAUUUCAGAAAGAGAGAAAAUAUCAUUUUUUUAAAAAUCCGUAGCAGUUUACAGUGCCCUCAAAGUAUUCACACACCUUGACUUUUACCAAAUGUUGUUAUAGCCUGAAUUUAAAAUGUAUUAAAUGUAGAUUUUUUUGGUCACUGGCCUACACACAAUACCCCAUAACGUCAAAGUGGAAUUAUGAUUUUCUAAAUGUCUAAAUUCAAUAAGUAUUCAACCCCUUUGUUAUGGAAAGCCUAAAUACAUUCAGGAGUAAAAAUGUGCUUAAGUCACACAAGUUGCAUGGACUCUUGUGUGCAGUAAUAGUGUUUAACAUGAUUUUUGAAUGACGACCUCAUCUUUGUACCCCAUACAUACAAUUAUCUUUAGUCAGCAGUGAAUUUCAAACAUAUUCAACCAUAAAGACCAGGGAGGUUUUCCAAUUCCUCGCAAAGAAGGCCACCUAUUGGUAGAUGGGUAAAAAAACACAAAAAAACAGGCAUAGAAUAUCCCUUUGAGCAUGGUGGUUAUUAAUUACACUUUGGAUGGUGUCUCAAUGCACCCAGUCACUACAGAGAUACAGGCAUCCUUCCUAACUGCGUUGCCGGAGAGGAAGGAAACUGCUCAGGGAUUUCACCAUGAGGACAAUGGAGACAGUUACAGCGUAUAGUGGCUAUGACAGGAGAAAACUGAGGAUGGAUCACUAACAUUGUAGUUACUUCACAAUACUAACCUCAUUGACAGGAUGAAAAGAAGGAAGCCUGUAUAGAAUAAAAAUAUUCUGAAACAUGUAUCCUGUUUGCCACAAGGCACUGUACAUAUUAACCAAAUAAUGGGCUUUAAAUGAACUUACAAAAAAUGGAGUGCUUUAUAUACAUUUUUAUUAAAAUUGCUUUACAUUUAAAAACAAAAUUAUCAUUUGAUUUUGAUUGUUACAAAAAAAUGACCGUGAAAGAACAUGCAAAUUCUGUAUGUUUUGAAUCUUUAUUGUAUUUUCUUAGAAGUCCUGUCCUGACUGAAUAAGGACCAUUGUGCAUUACUCUCUUUCCUCUGUCAUUCUCUCUUAUGUCGGGUAUUAAAGAACAGGGAAAAUAACUGACGUCGAUUUAUUUGGAGGAUGUUUUUAAAACUAGCUGGUUGUAAAGGAUCAUGAUCUAUGCACAAGUUUGGGGGGGGCUUUGAUGGGUACAAGGUGCAUUUUAUGCAGGGGUUUUGGGAUCCACUGUUUUUAUUUGGUUGGGUAGGCAUACCCCCCCACCCCAAGACCCCAAGGCUUCUUUAAUUCAGAUUGACAUCACGCUACAUGGCUAUACUGUGUAUUCAGAUUGACAUCACGCUACAUGGCUAUACUGUGUAUUCAGAUUGACAUCGCGCUACAUGGCUAUACUGUGUAUUCCUAAACCUCUUACUCUUUAGCACUGUGCCCGUCACCCCAUCUGUAUGUUCUGUCGUUUCAUUCAGUUAUUGUGUUUUUGUUGGGAUGAUGGGUGGGACGGGGAUUUGGGGGUAGGGCUGCUUUUUGCCUUUUUUGUUUUUGAAAUAUUAAGGAAAAAUGUCUGUACUGAGAUUUAAAGAAGAGUCAGUUGGCUUGUAAUGAUUUAUUUUCUCAAUGUAUCUCUUUCUCCUCAUAGAAUGUGAUUGUUAAACGACAUGCACCGAAAACAAUGUUUUCAUGAACUAUGGAGCUUCUUUCAUCUAUUAAUAAAAUUGCAGUUUUUUU
ensembl:lncRNA